rnacentral:rRNA from 1 species
CCUACGGGAGGCAGCAGUGGGGAAUUUUGGACAAUGGGCGCAAGCCUGAUCCAGCAAUGCCGCGUGAGUGAAGAAGGCCUUCGGGUUGUAAAGCUCUUUUGUCAGGGAAGAAACGGCUGAGGAUAAUACCUUCGGCUAAUGACGGUACCUGAAGAAUAAGCACCGGCUAACUACGUGCCAGCAGCCGCGGUAAUACGUAGGGUGCAAGCGUUAAUCGGAAUUACUGGGCGUAAAGCGUGCGCAGGCGGUUUUGUAAGUCUGUCGUGAAAGCCCCGGGCUCAACCUGGGAAUUGCGAUGGAGACUGCAAGGCUUGAAUCUGGCAGAGGGGGGUAGAAUUCCACGUGUAGCAGUGAAAUGCGUAGAGAUGUGGAGGAACACCGAUGGCGAAGGCAGCCCCCUGGGUCAAGAUUGACGCUCAUGCACGAAAGCGUGGGGAGCAAACAGGAUUAGAUACCCUGGUAGUCCACGCCCUAAACGAUGUCUACUAGUUGUCGGGUUUUAAUUAACUUGGUAACGCAGCUAACGCGUGAAGUGACCGCCUGGGGAUCGGUCGCAAGAUUAAACNCAAAGNUAGUGCGNGNGAGNGCGACGACGACGACGAGGAGGAGG